CAGACAGGCCUGCCUCUGUCAUGGUGCAAGUUCUGGUUAGCAAUGGUGCAGUUUACACGUAGCCCACUCUCUGUGGGGUCGGGAGAAACCAGAUGUUCUGGUUUUCAGGAGAAAUGGAAAUAGAGCCCGUGACGCGACUUCCACUUGUGGACGUUAACAAGAACGAACAACUGACUUGGGACGACCGAGCAUUGGUGUGGUUGAGUCCAUUUACUCGGUAACAUGGACUCUUUACAACAUGAUGAAACUUUGUUGCUUCUUGCUGAAAAAAACCAGGGUGUUGUAACAAACGAGUCCUUGGUUGCCUAGGCAAUGCCCCCUUCCAGCAGCAGCAGCACAUGCAGUCAGGGGUGGAGGAGAGGAGAAAAUGUGCGUAUUUUGGCAGACCAAUAACCGGCAUCCAAAUUUCCAUGACCGUCACGGCCCUAGUGGCAAUCUGUCACAGUGUUGACAUAGAUAAACUAGGGGCACUAUUUCCAUUCACUUCAACAACUGCAUCAGAGUCAAUACCUGCAGGAGCAGAGAUAAGAAAACAUUUUCACAACGAACCAGCCAAAAAGCUGGCCCAACCAUUCCAAUGGACCUCUUUUUGUUAAUUCACACGUUCUUUUGUUAUUUUUAUCAGCUGUAUCUGUGUGUGUUUGUGUGCACCUCCUGAGUCCUUCCUCUCCUCUGUGCAGAGAGGCUUGUUUUAGCUUGUUUGCAGGACACAGUAACCCAGCAAUACAACCAUGAACUGAACUCUUUUACACAACUGUGUUCGACACACUGCCCUAGCAGAAAACCCCAAGUGUGACAGCUGGUAGGGGAGGUGACAAACCAGGCCAAUUCCCUACUACAUUAUGAAGACACACACAUAGAGAGAUAGAGCUUCCCUCCCCAUAUAGACAGCUUCUCCAACCUAUCAAUGGUUCUAAAACAUUUUGAAUAAAAAGGCUCUCAAAAAGCGUCUGCCUGCAGCCGUUCCCAGAUCUCAUCUGUUAUGUAUCAGUUUUAUCUAGCAGAGCGCUGACGGGUCAUGUCCCUGGACAGACACAGCUCUCUCUCUCUCUCUGACUGCUGCCUGUCUGUGUGUGUGUGUGUGUGUGUGUGUGUGUGUGUGUGUGUCACAGCAACAGAGAAAACAGCCUUGAGCCCCUCUCGCUCUGCUAGUCACUGAGUCACACGCAACAGUACAAACUACUGAGAGAUAAACAUGACAACAUACACACUCUGGUCUGUCUAGCCACUCAGAGCGCACACCUGGCUUACUGAUACCGGGUUGAAACUGAGAAAAGAGAUAUUACAAAAAUGUAACGUAAAGUGUUAAUUGUUAAGUCAAUUUCACUUGGACAUUAUACUGAUUUACAGAUUAUAAAAGGGGGUGGGGGUCUGUGGGGGUCGAUAAUUCCAUAACCUUUCAUGUCCAAUCCAAGGAACCAAUCUUUAUGAACACAAUAUCCUCUAGUAUGAAAGACCAUACGCUCAACAAAGUGAAACAUGGGUCAUUUUUUGUAGCGUUGAAUGAGUGAACUGCUUGGAUCUCAAUAUUAAGGUAAAGACCGCAUUUAGUGUGGUUGGCCAUGGUGAGCAAGGCAGUGAUACAAGUCAUUGAUAUCAUGUGCACUGAUUUGUGUAUGGAUUAAUAUAGCGAUUGGUUCAUAAGCUAGUGGUCUCACUAUUACAGUGAGAGCAGUAUUGGUUUAGGUUUAUCAGUCAACAGCAACAUGACCAUCAUAUCUUCCAUUCUCACCCACAUGAUUGGGCAAUCUUGACCUUAUUCUAAACCUUUAACCAUUUAAGGCAUUUACUUGAAGGCAUUUAUUUUACAUCUUGAGAAUCAGAAGUAUUCUGAAACACUGGAAUGCUUUCUAAGAAUCCAACAGCGGUCAUCUGACCAAGCCUCCCCACGACAUUUAUGCCCAAACCACGGGAUAGUUCCAAACAAUUCCAUUUCAACUCCAGUUUAUUCACAACUUGGGUUUGGAUUUUUAGGUGGAAACAUCCAAUUCUUAGAGCUAUUUUCAAUUUCAGAAAUUCUAUGCCUCAUUCAAUGACUGUUUCAUCUGGACCAGGACUGGUAUUGACCCAACUCUGGCUGAAGAAGUAACCAUGCCACUGGUAAUAACCAUGUAAUAACCAUAUUGUUAUAGAUGCAGUACUUGGUAAUAUCUAUGUUAUAAUGUUGCACAGUAUACCGAAACUUUUCGAUACCAAAACAAUAUGUACAGUUAGGUACUAUAAUUUUUGUUACGUUUGGUACUUCUGUCAAAUGUGUCUUACGUGAUUGAGAGGAUCAAGUCUGUAUCAGCAUAGCCUCUUUAUAGCGCCAAGAGCAAAGAGCCUAGUCCACUUAGUCAUUCAUUGCUAGAGCUGUCUGAGCUGCAUUAGCUCCCCAGUCCCCACUCACGCUGCACAGAAGUUAACACACUUGAAUAAUGCAACACGGCAUGUAGAAAUGUUGAAACUUUUCAUUACUGUUCACAAAACAAUGUCAAUACAGGCUUGACACUUUUACAAUGCAAGACGAAACCGGUAGCUUCCAGCUUUAAUUGUAGGCUAACUUUCCUUGCUAGCUUACAGCUGAAUUCACAAUCCUAGUACUUUGUUUGUGAUAAUAUGCAAACCAUAACACAAAAUAUGCUAAUUUAAAAGCUCACAGGCACCAAAAAUGUUACUUAUUCACAUUGUCUCCCAUGCCACCAAAACAUCAUUCACUUCUUCGUCUUCCUUUGCCUCCCGUCUGGUUUCCACUAGAUUCCCGAGUCACAAAGUCAGAUUCCACAGCCACAUUCUGCCAUGCAAAUUAAGCAAAUAACGUCACUCAUUUCUUAAAGAGACAGUGCACACUUUUCGAAAAGAACAGAUUGCUUCUUCCAUGCAAAUGUUGUUAAUAAGUACAAUAAAAGAAUACAGUAUGUUCUCUUAGCAGUUUCCAAUAAAAUAAGUCCUAAAGUUUAUCUGUCUAGAUCAAGUGCCAUUUUGUGACUUUAGCAAUUUUUUUUUUUUUUGUGGUAUAUUUUUGGUAUCAUUUUGGUAAUAAGUAUCGUGAUGGUAUCGAGUAUUGUGAUACUAAACCUGGUAUCGGUAUCGAAUGAAAAAUGCUGAUAUUGUGACAAAACUAUUAUGUUAUUAGCCAUGUGGUCCCUACCUGCGUCGGGGGACAGGUAUGUGGGAGGAGGGGUGGGAAUUUCUCUCCUCAGGUGGCACUUGAUGUCCGGUUUCCUGGAAACCAUCGGGCACCAGCGGAUUCCUCACUUUCGAGUGCAUGUGUCUGUCCGGCUUCUGCCCGUUCAGGAUCAGGCAGUGAGUGGGACUGCCGUUAGUAAGGACCCCAGUCAGACCACUGUUCCUCUCAUCUGCCUCGCCACCACAACCCAUCUGAAGGAUGAAGAACAGUACACACACAGCAGAGAAAUAGUUGCAGUCUCAGAACUGUUAUGAUGGUGCUUUUUAGUCCACAUAGUCCACAUUGUUAUUUAUUUAU
rnacentral:lncRNA from 1 species